UUGAGAACCACUGGCCUAGAGAAGUAAUGGUUUUGGCUUGACCUUUCCAGAGUGUUUUAGCAAUGGCACAAUGUCAGCCCUUGCAGUGAAGGUAGAAUCCGUACCCCAGCUUGUCCCUCGUCAGCUUACCCUGAGGGAUCCCUCAUGUAGACCCAAAUUCAGCAACGAUCGCUUCGCCUACUUCACUUUUGAAGCAAACAGUUGUGGAACCACUAGAAUGUUCUAUGAUGGUGUUGUGAUGUAUCAAAAUGAAAUCACUUUGGGUAACGGGCUGCCAGUUUACCAGCCGAG